GAUGAACGCUGGCGGCGUGCUUAACACAUGCAAGUCGAACGGAAAGGCCACAGCUUGCUGUGGUACACGAGUGGCGAACGGGGGAGUAAAACGUGGGUGAACUGCACCGUAAUUCGGGAUAAGACUGGGGAACUGGGUCUAAUACCGGAGAGGAAUCACAUGAGGGCGUGGGGCAGGAAAGAUAUUGCGGUAUGGGAUGAGCUCGCGGCCUAUCAGCUGGUUGGUGGGGUAAUGGCCUACCAAGGCGUCGACGGGUAGCCGGCCUGGGAGCGUGUACAGCCACCUUGGGACUACGAUACGGCCCAGACUCCAACCGUAGGCAGCAGUGGGGAAUAUGGCACAAUGGGCGCAAGCCUGAUGCAGCGACGCCGCGUGGGUGAUGACGUCCUUCGGGUUGUAAACUCCUUUCGUCGUGGCCGAAGCGAAAGUGACGGUACCUGGAUAGGAAGCCCCGGCUAACUACGUG
rnacentral:rRNA from 1 species